AUGUCACUCAAGAUGUCUUGACAGCGGCACCACCGGCCAUGGAUGACAACAGUGAGAGCUAGCUAAUCAGUAACGGUCUUUGAAUGGAAAUACAGACACAGAAAUGUGUGAGGAUGUUGGAGGAGUUAACGCGAAACCACAAACACACAAACAAUCUGUGCAGAGUCCAUUUUGUCCGACUCGAGAAAUGACAGAUCCAGUCUUCACACAUGUAUCUUAAAAGGUAGGUAGAUGUGUCAGACCUGCUUUCUCCAGGCUUGGUUCUUGCUACCAGAAUAAACUCACAUCUACUUACACUUUGGAGGCAGAGCUAACAGCAUCAGGUCAGCUGAGGGCCAAACCAGCUGAGUAACUCACCAUGGCCACAGCACGCUUCCCUGGGAAGAGUGUGGACGUGGCUGCUGUCAACUUGACUCUUCCAUCUAUGGGGAGGCCUGUGUGUGUCAACGGGACACCGUGGAUCCUCUACCUGCUGGAGGAGUGUGUGGAUAAUGUGUGGGAGUACUGCAGCGUGGUGAUAGGACUGGUAUCCAUGUUCUGUUUUCUGCUGUCCACUCUGCCGCAGGUAUAUGAGGCGUAUAGAAAUGGCAAAGUGGAGGAGGCCAUGUCUUUUGGCUUUCUUAUCUUCCUCUUCAGUGGAGACCUGACAAGCUUUGCAGGUUGCUAUCUCACAAGCCAGCUUCCCAUCCAGGUUGUCACAGUGGUGUUCUACAUCUUUACAGACCUGAUCCUCAUCUCCCAGUUUCUCUACUAUAAGAUCAAGAACAGCUCCAGCAGAAAGAGCCCCGUGUUGAAGUGGCUGUGCUUCCUGUGGUGCGGCGCUGCUAGCAUAGUUAUCCUGACUUUACCCAAACUCAUCAUGGACAACAGUAUAACUGUAGACACUCAGAGUCCUUCUACCUCCAGAUCAGUGGAGAUCACUGGCUACGUAUGUGGGUACCUGGCAUCUGUCUUCUACCUCUGCUCCCGCUUCCCCCAGCUUUAUAAAAAUUUCCAGCGACAGUCCACAGAAGGCACCUCUUACCUGCUAUUUGCUCUGGCUAUGAUGGGCAAUGGGACGUAUGGGUUGAGUGUCGUUCUGGUCCUGCCUGCGCUGAGAGGCUCGAGACACUCCUUCAUCAUCAAACACUUGGCGUGGCUCAUCGGCAGCCUGGGAGUCCUUAUACUUGACUUCUUUGUAUCCUUUCACUCACAGUUGAAUCCACAAUUGAUUGCACAGAGUCAUACCUUAAGAUAACAUAAGAAAAUAUAGUACUUUAUUGAUCACUGGGGGGAAAUGUGGUUGUUAAAGCGACAGAGACAUGGUAGCAAGAUGUAAUACAAGAAGAAUAACAAGAUAAAAUAGAUAAAUGUAAUAAAAUACAAAUACAAAUUAGAGGUAUGUACAGCUGUUAUACAAAGGUAUAAAUAGUUAUAUAUUAAUUCUGAUAAUACCUCUGUAUAAACACAGAAUGUGAUGCGUUUACAGGGUUCAUUUGUUGCUCUAGUUGCUCAGAGCUAGGGUUGGUAGCCAUGGAAAACAAGCAUGAAUUUGUAUGAAGCAUUUCCUCAGGACUCCGUCUAACACCUCCAAAACGACGCCCCUGCUCACUUGCACAAGUGUCUUAUGUCUCACUCAGUGGUAAGAAAAAACACCAAAACAUUAUCAUCGUGAAAGUUAAAAACACAAACAAACAUGAAAUGUACACGCAGGAGGCGGGCACAACGGCAGAACGGGAUUUGAUUGGUUUCAUAAAUUGGAUCCUGAUAUGCGGGAUUGGUCAGUGUUUUCCCAGGUUUACUCCGGCUGUAGAUAGCAGCUUUUUUAAGAACACAUUAUGUAUUGAUUGCCAUCGGGACAUAAAGAUCAUUCUAACCAAUAUAACAGAAAGUGUAUCUAAAUCUAACUACCAACCCCAGAUUUAACCCUGUAGCUGUAGUAUUAUUUGUACACAUCCUUAAAUUGAAGUGUCUUUUAAUGCUCAUUUGAGUUCAUUAUAAAAUGUUUAUAGACAUUUUUUAAUUGUAUGACCACAAAUAUACUUAGAGCUACACCCAACAUCAAAAUAGCUUAGUUUAGUGAUAUUUUAUUUUAGAUAUGGAGCUUUAGAGGGGCUCAUUGGGGCCCAAGUUGGUCAAAGCAUAUGGCUGUCUAACAUGAGUCUGGUUCUGCUCGAGGUUUUCGGCCUGUUGAAAGGUUUUUCCUUGCCUCUGUAACUAGCUAAAACUGCGAGGUCCUGUCAGUAAGAAGGGACUGGAUCUGAUCCUGUCUUGAUGUUGGGUCUUUGUUUAUAAUUUAACAUAGAGAAUGGUCUAGACCUGCUAUGUUUGUAAAAGCGUCUUGACAUAACGUUUGUUGUGAUUUGGCGCUAUAUAAAUUAAAAUUGAUUGAUUGAUUGAUUUUGUCAGCUCGCUAACUAUGCUUCCGGUCUGAAGGCUAAGCCAAAAUGGUGGUGAUCUUCUCAUCUCAAGCUAAAGAAGAGACAGAAGAAUAACUCGGCCAAAAGCAGCAAACUGCAGAGCAUGCCAGAGGUGGAGCCUCUACUCUGUGAGGAGGUGGAACUGUCAGUGUUAUAAGGGCACGUCAACGUGGACCACUUUGCCAAGACUGGACUGUUCAGUCUGCAAGCUUGUUUUUAAUCAAACUGUGAGAUCCAGCUUCUUAACAUGUUUGGAGGACAAGAUCGAGGUCUUGUGGGGAGUACCAGGAGGAAGUUUGCUAUUGUUUUCUGAUAUCCUGCUGUGAAAAGAGCCUACACAAAGAUCAAUCUUCUGUCUUUAAUUUGGUAAAAGGCAGAAACAAAAAUACGUCCUCUCAAGUGAAAUUACUUGAAAAACAAUUCAGAGUGUUUCUCUCAAGGCAAGAAAGUCAGCAGUCUGCAAAUAUUUCAUGGUUAUUGUGGCCAUCAUUUUGAAUAAUGUUUUUCCUUGAAUUCCUUAAUUUUCUAUUUCCAUGGAAUUUUUUAUGUAUGUAUUUAUUUUUUGGUUAAAUCGGAGCCAUCGCACCAAGAACAGAAAGAGUAAUGCCAGAUGUUUUUCCACAAGUCCAAGUGUCAAAGAGGAAUUAAGUGCCUGUUAAAUUUAUGUUUUCUGACAGGGUAAAUACUGCUAACAAGGACUGCAUUUUUCUAACCUGAUUUGCUAUUUGAGUGACACAAACAUCAGAGUUUGCGGGGAGUCCUUCUUCCACCUCAUAGAUGUUCAUUUGGCUUCAGGCACAUUAUGGCCUAUUUCAAAGGGAUGUUGCAUUUCUCUGAUGUUCUUCGUCCUCUCUCGCUGCUCUUCUGUGGAAAAACAACAACACAUUGUCUGUGCCUUUUAGGACUAAACAUAGUCUCAGUAGAAAUGCACUCUACAUCUGUGUCAGAGUUAAAUUCAAUUAAAAUUUAAAUUAAGUUAAGAUUUCUUAUCUUAAGAGAAGUUUAUUUAGGUUUUGGUUUUUCUUGCAUUUCUUCUAAUCUCUGCCCUUUCAUGACAUUCAAAGACAUUUACAAUGGGAACAUUGAUAGGAUAAUAGACAUGUUAAAGUAAUAAGGUUCAUCAUUAGUUUCAAUUUUUCCAUCAAACAAGCAGAAGGCACUUCAGUCAAGUCAAAUAAAUUCAGUAAAAAGAUCUUGUUAGCUUCAUUUAGGCAGUAAAAAAAAUAUUAAAUAGCAUGAAAGGACGGCAGAAACAGAACAGAACAGUUCUCUUAAAGAUGAACUACAUGAGCACUUCAAAUUAGAAGAUAUUUAUUUAGAUCAUUUGAAAAAAAAAACUGCACUUCAAUUUGGUGCCAAAUGUUGUUACGCAUCGUGUUUGGGGUGCUGUCAUUAUUCAAACAGACCAUCAGCUUGACCUAAGUACUUAUCUGCAGAUCUAUCUACCUCAGUAUUGUGUGGAUGUGAUUUAUUUCUCCCAGUGUCUGUUAAGUGAUGAAUAGCCAAUGAGCUCAAUGCUCACUUUGUGGGAACAGUCUGUGUACUUGAAGGGUCAUCAGUCGAGCCCAUGCUGAAUUCAAAAUCCAGACUCUUUUUUUAUUUUAGUAAUUUAUGUGAUGCAAUAAUAGACAUUCAUGUAGAUAUUGGAGGUGGGGGUGUCUUCAUUAUUAUUAUUAUUUUUUGCAAAUAUAUGCAAUUACGGAAAACGUAAAGUAAAUUUUUCAAAUUAUUUUUAUAUUUCAUGAUUGAUCAACUUUAGCUUCCUCUAAAUUAUUUAGGAGUAAGACUGAUAUACCUUUGAGCACAGCACUACAAGUCUACACUUUUAUUGUCAGUAUUACAAAACUACUGUUACCUGUAGGACACAUAGUAUUUAUAGAUGGUGGCCCUUACUUUAAUGGUGAUACUGUCUUCUUGAGAGGUAUUUACUUUCAUGCAUUUAGAAACAUUGCCAGUUAUUUUGUAUUUUUUAGCUUUUUGCCAGGGUAUGUUUACUCACAAUGUCUUAUGAUACAAACUAUGUAAAUCCCGUAUUUCUUGGGUCAACUGUAAAUGUAUUAAUAACGUUUGAAUAAAAUUCAGUAUUUGUUGGAUAAGA